rnacentral:lncRNA from 1 species
AAGAAAUCCAAACCUCAAUUGAUUUCAGCAAAGAAAAUUUACCAGAUACUGCACCUUGCAAGUCACUGUGGGACAAGUCUCUGGGAAACAAAGCAUGUUUACAACUCUAGUCCCUGCGAGCUAGAGCCCCUCAAGGGUGGGAAGUGGGAACCAAUAUUGAAGAAAUUAGAGCAGGGGACCUGUGCGAUGGACUGGUUGGCCAUGGCUGCUGGAUACAAUGAACUCUUCAUCAGCCUCAUUUCUAGUGACGAUAUGAAGGGAGUCCCAUCGCCGAUGUCUAUCAAGCAGACUGAUAUUGAGUUCGCCUUGGCGACAACGAUCACCUCAGCGAAGUAA